rnacentral:sRNA from 1 species
CCAGGUGGGCCUGGGGGGUUCAUUGGGGAGGUCUUCGUGCAGCAGGCCAGUGGGCCCAGCGGGGAGGUACCGGCCACCCUGCUGAUGCUGCCCAAGCCCACCCUGGGCCCCACCCUCAGAACGAGCUGCAGCAGAUCCGCCUGUGCUUUGAGAGGAAGAAGAUGGUCAUCACAGAGGUGUGGGACAGCGUGGCUGAGAUGCACAUGGCCCUGAACAACCAGGCCACCGGGCUCCUGAACCUCAAGAAGGACAUCCGGGGCGUGCUGGACCAGAUGGAGGACAUCCAGCUGGAGAUUCUCAGGGAGCGGGCCCAGUGCCGCACUCGAGUCAGGAAGGAGAAGCUGAUGGCAAGCAUGUCGAAAGGGAGGCCAAAGCUGGGAAGCUCCAAGGGCCUGGCAGGCCAGCUCUGGUAGGUGACUGCGCGGCAGAGCCCAGCCCCCAGGCCCCCCACGCGCCCCUGCCCCUGACCACCGCCGCCCGCAGGCUGCUGACCCUGAGGCUGCUGCUGGGCGCCCUGCUGGUCUGGACCGCUGCCUACGUGUACGUGGUGAACCCCACACCUUUCGAGGGGCUGGUGCCACCCCUGCUGAGCCGUGCCACCGUCUGGAAGCUCCGGGCCCUGCUGGACCCCUUCCUGCGCCUCGAAGUGGACGGCUUCCUGCCCUUCUAGGCCAGAGGCCCAGCGGCCCCAGCGAGGA